rnacentral:rRNA from 1 species
AUUAAGCCAUGCAAGUCUAAGUACACACGGCCGGUACAGUGAAACUGCGAAUGGCUCAUUAAAUCAGUUAUGGUUCCUUUGAUCGCUCUACCGUUACUUGGAUAACUGUGGCAAUUCUAGAGCUAAUACAUGCCAACGAGCGUUGACCUCCGGGGAUGCGUGCAUUUAUCAGACCCAAAACCCAUGCGGGGUUGCCCCUCGGGGCUCCCCGCCCGCUUUGGUGACUCUUGAUAACCUCGAGCCGAUCGCUGGCCCUCGUGGCGGCGACGACUCAUUCGAAUGUCUGCCCUAUCAACUUUCGAUGGUACUUUCUGUGCCUACCAUGGUGACCACGGGUAACGGGGAAUCAGGGUUCGAUUCCGGAGAGGGAGCCUGAGAAACGGCUACCACAUCCAAGGAAGGCAGCAGGCGCGCAAAUUACCCACUCCCGACUCGGGGAGGUA